rnacentral:rRNA from 1 species
UGUACCUUAUACAAAGGAAUAACUCAGAGAAAUCUGUGCUAAAACCUUAUAAGCUUACACUAGCAGAUGGUAGAGUAAGAAAAACUUUAGUGGUAUAAGAUGAGCCUGCGUCCGAUUAGUUAGUUGGUGGGAUAACAGCUCACCAAGGCGACGAUCGGUAACCGGCCUGAGAGGGUGACCGGUCACACUGGGACUGAGACACGGUCCAGACUCCUACGGGAGGCAGCAGUGGGGAAUAUUGCACAAUGGAGGGAACUCUGAUGCAGCAACGCCGCGUGAAGGAUGAAGGUUUUCGGAUCGUAAACUUCUAUCAGUAGGGAUGAAAACAAUGACAGUACCCAACUAAGAAGCCCCGGCUAACUACGUGCCAGCAGCCGCGGUAAUACGUAGGGGGCAAGCGUUAUCCGGAUUUACUGGGUGUAAAGGGUGCGUAGGUGGCAUGGUAAGUUAGGUGUGAAAGCCCAAGGCUUAACUUUGGGAUUGCAUCUAAAACUACUAAGCUAGAGUGCAGGAGAGGAAAGUAGAAUUCCUAGUGUAGCGGUGAAAUGCGUAGAUAUUAGGAGGAAUACCAGUAGCGAAGGCGGCUUUCUG